GGAGGGAUGGCUGAGCGGCCGAAAGCGGCGGUCUUGAAAACCGUUGGGCGUGCAAGCGCCCCGUGGGUUCGAAUCCUACUCCCUCCGC
rnacentral:tRNA from 1 species